GGAUGAACGCUGGCGGCGUGCCUAACACAUGCAAGUCGAGCGAGAAACCUGCAAUUGAAACUUCGGUAGAUUUUGCGGGCGGAAAGCGGCGGACGGGUGAGUAACGCGUAGGCAACCUGCCCUUUGCAGAGGGAUAGCAACGGGAAACUGUUAUUAAAACCUCAUAAUACCGACAUGUCAAAUGACAAGACGGUCAAAGAUUUAUCGGCAAAGGAUGGGCCUGCGUCUGAUUAGUUAGUUGGUAGGGUAACGGCCUACCAAGGCAGCGAUCAGUAGCCGACCUGAGAGGGUGAUCGGCCACAUUGGAACUGAGACACGGUCCAAACUCCUACGGGAGGCAGCAGUGGGGAAUAUUGCACAAUGGGCGAAAGCCUGAUGCAGCAACGCCGCGUGAAGGAUGAAGGCCUUUGGGUCGUAAACUUCUGUCCUUGGGGAAGAAAAAAAUGACGGUACCCCUGGAGGAAGUCCCGGCUAACUACGUGCCAGCAGCCGCGGUAAUACGUAGGGGGCGAGCGUUAUCCGGAAUUAUUGGGCGUAAAGAGUACGUAGGUGGUUUUUUAAGCGCAGGGUUUAAGGCGAUGGCUCAACUGUCGUUCGCCCUGUGAACUGGAAGACUUGAGUACAGGAGAGGAAAGCGGAAUUCCUAGUGUAGCGGCGAAAUGCAUAGAUAUUAGGAGGAACACCAGUGGCGAAGGCGGCUUUCUGGACUGUAACUGACACUGAGGUACGAAAGCGUGGGGAGCAAACAGGAUUAGAUACCCUGGUAGUCCACGCUGUAAACGAUGAGCACUAGGUGUCGGGGUCGCAAGAUCUCGGUGCCGGAGUUAACGCAUUAAGUGCUCCGCCUGGGGAGUACGCACGCAAGUGUGAAACUCAAAGGAAUUGACGGGGACCCGCACAAGCAGCGGAGCAUGUGGUUUAAUUCGAAGCAACGCGAAGAACCUUACCAGAACUUGACAUCCUCCUGACAGGCCUUUAAUCGGGCCCUUCUUCGGACAGGAGAGACAGGUGGUGCAUGGUUGUCGUCAGCUCGUGUCGUGAGAUGUUGGGUUAAGUCCCGCAACGAGCGCAACCCUUGUCAUUAGUUGCUAACAUUAAGUUGAGGACUCUAAUGAGACUGCCGGGGACAACUCGGAGGAAGGUGGGGAUGACGUCAAAUCAUCAUGCCCCUUAUGUUCUGGGCUACACACGUGCUACAAUGGCCGGUACAACGAGAAGCGAAGUCGCAAGGCGGAGCAAACCUCAAAAACCGGUCCCAGUUCGGAUUGCAGGCUGAAACCCGCCUGCAUGAAGCCGGAGUUGCUAGUAAUCGCGAAUCAGAAUGUCGCGGUGAAUGCGUUCCCGGGUCU
rnacentral:rRNA from 1 species